GCUGGGCCAGGUAGGGGAGGCCUUAGGCUCCUCUCCUGCUCAACUCCAACUCUGCAAAGUUUGCUUCAACUGCAGCCAGAGCUGUGCAGACGCCUGUGGAGUAGCAGGAUGAACAGAAGUUCCGACCCGGUGGUCACCGUCUCGGCGGCUCGUUCCUCCAUUGGUCAGUGUCCCGGAGGCACCCUACAGGUGCACAGAGAACCCGGCCAACUGCCCGCUUGCAUUCAUGGUGGUUCAUCUCUGACCGUGUGGUGGCAGAGGUUCCUUCAGUGGUGCCCUGUCCACCGUGCCUGUCCACGACCUGGGGACAACUGUCAUCAAAGAAGACCUGCAGAGGGCUAAGGUGCCUCCAGAAGAGGUGUCCGAGGCGGACACGUUUUGACCGCAGGUAACUCUUCAAUAGACCAGGAAAGGUCUGCUUCAUUAGAAACAGAACAUUUAUUGGCUCUCCCACACCCUAUCACCACCACCACCACCACCACCACCACCACGACCACCACCACCACCACCACCACCACACAUUGCUUUGGAGUUCCCUGUGGUAGGAUUCUUUCUGUCCCUCCUCCUUCCUGUAGCUGAGGUCAAAGCUUCCUUAUGAACGUUUUCCCUGAGUGAUUUUAGACCAGUGGUGUGACCGCCUUUGCAUUGUUAGGAACAGGGCCAGCCUGAUGCACAGGAAAGUAUGUAUAAUUCUCCACAUACCCCUAAAAUGUCACACAGUCGAGAAAAGUGUGUGAGCCUGACACUGUGCCAGAGCUGCAAGUGAGGCUGCAGCAGAACCCUUGACCACAUGUCGUGAGAUAGGCUGUCCGUCACUCCUAGGGGACUCUCUGGAGGAAGAAUGCUUCAUCUUACCUCUGAUUCCUGCUGUGUUUGUGGACCAGUGACUACUGUGGUCAGUUCGUGUUGAUAAUCGAUUUGGGACCUGGGUGUGUAGCUCAGGGGUGAAUUGUGCGGUUAGCGUGCAUGUGGUCACGAGUUCACUCUCUUGCCCUGCCCUGUGCUCUCUCAGCUCACAUUUGAAUCAACUGUAGAGAAAAUUGUUAACAUUCAAUACCAACUUCUGCUCUUCCUCUGUCCCAGACCAUUUGUAUGCGUGUCAAUUGGACAUCCUGUAUGUUUUAGAUGGGCGUUUUCCCUGUACAUAUGUCUUGCAUUUACCACUUGCCUGCCUGGUGCUGGGAAAAGCUGGAAGAGGACAUUGGGUUUCCUGGAACUGGAGUUACAGAUGGUUGUUGUUGUGAGCUGCUGUGCGGGUGCUGUAUGUAUAAGUCUGUCUGUGUAUCUGUCUCUGUGUCUGUCUGUGUUGAGCGCCAGGCCAAUCCAAGUCUUCUCCAAGGCUGGGUUGAUAAGAUAGAGAAACCUAGUUUAAUGUCGUUGCCGAGGAGCAGACUUGGCAAGAUCCAGUCUGAGGCUGGGUUCAGGGCCUUGGAGGACUUAAGGCUUCAGUUCCUGGGAGCUUGGUGUUUAUCCCAGAACAGGCAGAAUUAUCAGUCCUAAGGCCUUUUUGUGCUCCAUCUGUGGCACUCUAAGACACCCUGUGUUCCUCUUAUAGAACAUUGAUUGAUUAGCUUCCUGCUGACUUCAUCCCCUUGCCCCAUCUCUCCCCUAAAAGCUGUCUAUAAGGUCCUGUGCUUAUGAAUAAGCUUGCUCAGUAUAGGGUAUUGCUUCUGCAGAACAUCCUGGCCACAGCUUUUCUUCUUCUUUAUCUUCUUAUCUCCUGGCCAUCUGCUUUAGGACACUGUCACAGUGUGUGUGUGUGUGUGUGUGUGUGUGUGUGUGUGUGUGUGUGUGUGUGUUUUUGCAUGCAUAUAUGUCUGCAUGUGUUUGUGACUGUGUGUGUGUAUGCAUGUGUGCAUGUGUUUGUGAAUGUUUGUAUGUGUGCAUGUGUUGUGAGUGUGUGUGUGUAUGCAUGUGUGCAUGUGUUUGUGAGUGUUUGUAUGUGUGCAUGUGUUUGUGAGUGUAUGUAUUCAUGUGUUUGUGAGUGUGUGUGCGUGUGUGUGUAGGUUUGGUACACAUGUAGAGGUCAGAGGACAUCUUGCUGGAGUUGUUCUUGUUCUACUGUGGGACCUGGAGAACUCUGGAGUAAAACUUGACAUCAAGUGCUUUAAGCACUGAGCUGACUGGACGGGCAGUGAUGUCCCCUGCAUCUGUGAUACAAAGGCUCACACUAGUCUGAAGUUCUCCAAGUAGGCCGGGCUGAGUGGCUGUCAGGCUCCAGAGGUCUGCCCUUCCCAGCCUUCAGCAGUGUGGUCAUAGGUGCACCACCAUGCUCUGUGCUGUUCUUUUUGUUGCUGCUGCUGUUGUUUUAGUUGGGUUUUGCGAUUAACCUCAGAACAUUUGCCCUUUACCUACUGAGCCAUCUCGUCAGCCCCAUGUCAGCUGUUUUACAUCAUAUUUUCUGUGCAUAGGUGUUGUGUUUGCAUAGAUGUUGCGAUCCCCUGUGUGUCAGUGGAGGUGUCGGGUCCCCUGGGUCUGGAGUUGUGGUCUGUAUUAGGAGCCUCCAUGUGAGUGUGAGGGAACCAAACCUGGGUCCCUAGAAGAGCAGCUAGUGCUGCCUGCCAUCUCUGCAGCUUCCAGAUCCUUCUAAGUCAGAUGCAGUGUGCUGUAUUAACUGCACAUAACAGUGGAACAGUUAGACUUAAAGGACUUUUAGCAUGCAUUCUUUUGGUUUUGAGGCUGAGGCUUGCUCUAUAGCCCAGGCUAGCCUUAAUGUAGACAGCUGCCCUCCCUGAGCUUCUAAAGGAUUAUAGGUAGGUGUGUGUUUGUGUAUGUGUGUGUGUGUGUGUGUGUGUGUGUGUGUGCGUGUGCGUUCCCACAUCUCCCUAGAGAACGUCAGCCACCUUUUGAAUGGAAUCAGUUCUCUGAGGGAACUGUGUGUUGCAGGGCACAUGAAGGAGCCCUCCAUGCUGACAGUGGUCCUGAUGAGGAAACACUGCAGGCUGCCUUAGAGCCACAGGCCACCAUGGAACACCCAGCCUCAUACUUGGCAGUUUCCUACAGGAGGUGUGUCUUUGAGAAGUAUAUUAUGUAUAAAUUUUCUUCAUUUAAAUUAACAUUGUCUGUGCAAGCACACACACGUACGUCCUGGUACCCAUGGAGGCCACAAGAGGGUGUGUGAUACCAUAGAACUGAGUUACAGGUGAGCAUGGGAUCUGAGGUCUGAUCCUCAUGAUAGAGCAUCAAGUGUUGUUAACAGUGAACCAUCUCUCCUGCAACUGAAGCAUAAUUUUGUUAGUAAUGAAUGGUUUGACCUCCCUGUAGGUUGCAAAUGCAGGCUGAUCCCUGGAGGAUGUUGACGUGUUUGAAAUCAAUGUAGCCUUUGCAGCAGUGUCUGCAGCAAUAGCUACAGAACAUAGAUCAAACCCCGAGAAGGUAACCAACCUGAAGCUGUGUUUGCCCAUGAGCUUGCACACUCUGUGUUUAGAGCUGUGAAGUAUAAGAAAUGAGGUCAAUCCCCAUGAUUGCUCACCUUGGCUAGAGAUGAACAAGCACAAGUUAAUUUUCAGUUGGGUUCACAACAAGGAACUGAGUGUGUUAGGUCACAUCAGAAUCAGUGGAACAGUCUAGAAACAGGGAGGCAGCAGAUGUCACACAGGCAUUGCUUCUUCCUAAGGUUUACAGUGAAAGUUGAGUUUGAAAGGAUAGUUUGCUAGCAUCACACUGGGGGGUAGGGUGGGGUGAGACAAAACAGGUAUGAGCCUGUGUUCAGAGGACUGACUUAAGACUUAAAGCUCUUCUUCUCUACAGGUGAACAUCUAUGGAGGAGUCAUUGCCUUGGGCCAUCCUCUGGGAGCAUCUGGCUGUAGGAUUCUAGUGACCUUGUUACACACCCUGGAGAGAGUGGGCGGGACUAGUGGUGUUGCAGACCUGUGCACUGGGGGUGGGAUGGGGAUGGCAAUGUGUGUUCAGAGAGGAUGAGCCAUCACCCUUACAGUUCUCAUUAAAACACUAAACAGAACGUGAGACCAGAGGACCACAGUGAGGACAGGAACCCAGGUCGACAGCUUGCUGUACUUUAGUGUGAGACUCCCAAGGCUAAGACGUUGCGACAUUGCACUUGACACUGUUAUAAAACAGGGAAAUCCAGUCAGUCAUCAAGGGCUCCGGAGUGAUUGACAGUUUCAUAAUUUCCAUGUUUAUUGUCUUUGCUUCCUGGGUAUAAUUUUCUCUGAUCAUUGAUUUGUUUGUUUGUUUGUUUGUUUGUUUGUUUGUUUGUUUUUGAGUCAGGGUCUCAUCAUAUAGCCUGAAAAUCAUUUUGUAGAUGAGGUUGGCUUUGAACUCCCAGAUCCACCUUUCUGUGCCUCCUGGGUACUCGAAUGAAACGCAUGCGCCAUUAUGCAGGGCCCCCAAAAUGAUCCAUUCAAGGAAUGGGGAUGUGGUUUCUGGUUUGAACUUCAGGCUCUCGCUCAAACACCCCUGCUUGCUUGUUGUCUUGUCGUUUCCCAUUGAUCAAACCAAAACCAAUCCUGUAAUGGAAAUUGGAUUCAGUGGCCUCUUCUAAGCUGAGGUGGUGGGCUAGGUAUUCUAGCUAUUCUACUCAGAAGAUUGGCAGUCCCAACCAGUGUGCCUCUGGUUUGUUGGAAAGUAAGCAGCAAGCGCCUACCGUUCAUUUGUUUCUCUGCUUGACCAGAGGGAUGGUACUUGCUUCAAACGUCUACCUUGACUUCCCCAAAAUGAUGAACUGUGACUGGAAUUGAAAGCCAAAUAAACUCUCUCCUCCCUUGCA